UACGUAGGGUGCAAGCGUUGUCCGGAAUUAUUGGGCGUAAAGAGCUCGUAGGCGGUCUGUCGCGUCGGCUGUGAAAACCCGGGGCUCAACCCCGGGCCUGCAGUGGGUACGGGCAAACUAGAGUGCGGUAGGGGAGAUUGGAAUUCCUGGUGUAGCGGUGGAAUGCGCAGAUAUCAGGAGGAACACCGAUGGCGAAGGCAGAUCUCUGGGCCGUAACUGACGCUGAGGAGCGAAAGCGUGGGGAGCGAACAGG
rnacentral:rRNA from 1 species